rnacentral:rRNA from 1 species
GAUGAACGCUAGCUACAGGCUUAACACAUGCAAGUCGAGGGGUAACGAGAGGAAAGCUUGCUUUCCUUGUCGACGACCGGCGCACGGGUGAGUAACGCGUAUCCAACCUGCCCCCAACUAGGGAAUAACCUUGCGAAAGUAAGACUAAUACCCUAUAAUUUCCUCAGAUGUCAUCUGACGAGGAAUAAAGAUUUAUCGGUUGUGGAUGGGGAUGCGUCUGAUUAGCUUGUUGGCGGGGUAACGGCCCACCAAGGCAACGAUCAGUAGGGGUUUUGAGCGGACGGUCCACCACAUUGGGACUGAGAGACGGUCCAAACUCCGGCGGAAGGCCGCAGGGAGGAAUAUUGGUCAAUGGGCGGAAGCCUGAACCAGACAAGUAGCGUGCAGGAUGACGGCCCUAUGGGUUGUAAACUGCUUUUAUACAGGAAUAAAGUUAGCCACGUGUGGUUAUUUGGAGGUACUGUAUGAAUAAGGACCGGCUAAUUCCGUGCCAGCCGCCGCCGUAA